rnacentral:lncRNA from 1 species
AACCUGCUAAGGUCUUGUUCCAACCCGUGGGUGCUUUGUUCUUUUGCUCUUUGCAGUAGAUCUUGCUGCUGCUCACUGUUUGGGUCCACAUUGCCUUUAUGAGCUGUAACACUCACCUUGAAGAUCUACAGCUUCACUCCUGAAGCCAGCGAGACCACGAACCCACCGGGAGGAACUAACAACUCCAGAUGCACCGCCUUAAGAGCUGUAACCCUCACCGCGAAGGUCCACAGCUUCACUCCUGAGCCAGUGAGACCACGAACCCACCAGAAGGAACAAACUCUGAACACAUUCGAACAUCAGAAGGAACAAACUCUGGACAUGCUGCCUUUAAGAACUGUAACACUCACCUUGAGGGUCCACGGCUUCAUUCUUGAAGUCAGUGAGACCAAGAACCCACCAAUUCCGGACACAGUGGCACUUUGGGAAACAGAGGCAGGAGGAUUUCUUGAGCUCAGGAGUUCAAGACCAGCCUGGGCAACAGAGGGAGGCCCCAUCUCUACAAAAAAUAAAAAUAGGCCAGGUACAGUUGCUCACACUUGUAAUCCCAGCACUUUGGGAGGCCAAGGUGGGCAGAUCACAAGGUCAGGAAAUUGAGACCAUCCUGGCCAACAUGGUGAAACCCCAUCUCUACUAAAAAUGCAAAAAUUAGCUGGGUGUGGUGGCGCGCACCUGUAGUCCCAGCUACUCAGUAGGCUGAGGCAGGAAAAUCGCUUGAAUCUGAGAGGCUGAGGUUGCAGUGAGGCAAGAUUGCCCCACUGGACUCCAGCCUGGUGACAGAGCAAGACUCUGUCUUAAAAAAAUAAAUUAAUUAAAUUAAUAAAAAAUAAAUUAGCCAGGUGUGGUUUUGCAUACCUGUGGUCCCAGCUACUCAGGAGGCUGAGGUAGAAGGAUUGCUUGAGGCUCAGAGGUCAAGGCUGUAGAGAGUUGCGAUCACACACCUCUGCACUCCAGCUGGAAUGACAGAGCAAGACCCUGUCUCAAAAAAAAAAAAGUUCAAGCUGUAAACUUGAGAUGUGUGCAUUUUAAUGUAAGCAAAGUAUGUCUCAAUUUGCAUUGUAAAUUUAUUUUUAAGCCACCUCACUAUUAAGCCUUUGAUGAUUUUUCUGUCACUACUCUUCUACUAGCAAGGUUAUGCCCACAGGUACCCCUGUGCUUUACCAAUUUUUACACUGCUCAAAGUCCAUCAAUGGUGAGAUUCCCUGCGUCCUCCCUAAACUGCUAACAAUUAGUGUCCAGACCAGCUGCCAUUUUGAAUGGCAGCUACAAGUUCAGCUAUAUUUGUGAAGCACGAUAAGUAAAAAUAAUCUACUGGAACACUUUGUUGGGGAACUUAUGUUCCAUAUUUUUCCAAAUCAGCAGAGACUCCACCUCUGAGCUCUUGUCUGGCUGAGUGAUAAAGGCAAUCAGAUUCAGACCAAUGACCAGAAUGACCAGCUACUCAACAACAGUGAUCAUGCAGAGAGGCUCACAAAGCAAGGUUGUUUAAGAAACCCACACAAUGCACAAUGCUUGGUGGUCACUGACCUUUUCAAAGGUUUAUGGAAUUAUUUGAGACUUGGAAGAAAUAAUUGUACUGUCCCAAAAACUUACAAAAUGAAAGUUAUAAAUGUUUAAUUAAAUGUCUACAAAAUGUAUUAUGUUAGUCAACUAAAACCUACCUCAACAUAUAUAUGUAAAUUAUACUAAAUGUGCCAUAUGGCCACAUUUUAACAUGUUUGGUGUGAGGUAGGACGAGGCAUCCAACACAGAUUUGUCUUAAUUGCAUGAAGAUCAGGAAAACGUGGCCUUGCUUGCAUGUCAUAUGGUAGCUUUUCUGUUAAGUCUAAUAAGCUCCUCCUUUUUUUGUGGACAGAGGUUGCAAUUGCUUCCUUCGUUUCUGGAACCAUAAGGGAAGUCAGCCUACAUGGUCCUAGCAACCAAAAGCCCAAACUCUUGAAGAAAGAAUCUUAGACAACAAGGCAGGAGAAACAGCCAUCUGGUACCAGUUAGAACCUUUCCUUUCGUGAGACCCCCUCAGCCUGUGACACAUUUGGAGUCACUUUAUUUCUUACUCUGCUUGCCCUGUGUGCCAUCCCAAGAUGUCAACUAAUAGUUUCUGGGGUCACAGAUCCCAGAAAAUUCCUGGAACGUAAGUCAUUUGAAUGUGUGCUCACUGCGUUUUUUUGUUUGUUUUUUGUUACCACUGACCUUCAGGAUGGAGUGGAAAGAAUAUUCUUUUGGAAUGGAAAAUAUAUGUGCUUAGGAGUUACCCAGACCUGCAUCAUUCAUGUUUUGGUCAUCAUUUAGCAGUGGUUGGAAACAGCGCUGGGCUGGAGUGGGGGGUGGUUUUGUCCAGGUUCUACCACUUACGGGCUUUGUGACCUCACAUAAAUCUUUUCUCUCUGAGCCUCAAUUAUCUCAUCUGUGAAAUGGAAGGAAGAACCCCAGUUUCACAGAGCUGCUGGCAUGAGAAUUAAUAAGGUAUGCAUAUCAUGAUAUUAGCACAAUGCCUGGCAUGUAGUGAAUGCUGUUAACACUGUCAGACAGAAAGAAAGUUAAUGGUUGCCAGGGGCUGGAGAUGGAGAGUGACUGCUGAAAAUGGUUAUGGGGUUUCCUUUGGAAUGAUGAAAAUGUUCUAGAACUAGGUAUUGGUGAUGGUUGCGCCACAUUGUGAAUAUACUAAAUGCCAUUCAAUUGCACGCUGUAAGGUGUUUAAAAUGAUCAACUUUACAUUACAUGUAUUUUACCACAAUGAAAGAAAAAUAACUGGUAGACCGUCUUUUCUACCCCAUAGGUUGAAGGCAGGAGGGAGACCGACCUGCCACAGAAACCUGCAAGGGUGUACUGCCACAUCGUUCUGAAACCCAAGCUGCAAUUGUACAAAUGGCUCAAAAUCCCUUUUGACUAAAGGAUAAAGAUUGAAAGCAAAAGACGUAUUUUGACCAAGUGUGGAGGGAAACCAACUUUGAAUGAAACACGAAUAACAGAUAAGAUAGUGAAGAAAGUGCUUCACUGUGAUUCUCUUAAUAGUACUCAAUAAAAGUAUCUUUUAAGUUUUA